CUGCCGGUGCCCACAGAGCUGGACCUGCAGGACCUGUGCGCGGAGGGCGCUGAGAGCGAGGAGCUGGAAGGGCCGUGGACCAGUCUCUUUGUCUUCAUCGCGCUCUUCCUGCUCAGCGUCAGCUACAGCGCCACCGUCACCCUCUUCAAGGUGAAGUGGAUCUUUGCCGCCAUCCUGCAGGAGAAGCCCCAGAACGUCCACGACUACAGGAACGUCAUGCAGCCGGCAUCCUAGGCCUGGAGACAGCCACGAGGCCUUGCCUCCUCCCUCCCAGAGUCUGAGCAUCCCUGAGGCUGUCUGCUCUGCCCUGGGUGGGAGGAGCGGAGCAGACAACCCCCAAAGGGGCCAAAGUCAGGGACCCAAUGACCAGCACACAGGAAUCCAGAAGGUUCCAGCUCAGCCCAAGGUCCAAGGCACCCAUAGGACCCACCAGCCACAGCCCCGAUCCCCACCCCACUUUGAGACAAGCCCCAGAAUAGCAUCUGUCCCUUCCACAGAGGGACCUGGGCUGGGUAUGGGUGUGACCACUCUGGGCUCCUCCCAGGCCCCUGGCAUCGAGCCCACUCCCAUUUGACUGAAGAACCCCCGAAACACAAUGAGGGCCUAUGGCCCAGCCGCUGCUCAGAGUUCGAGGCAGCCCAAGGCCUCACUCCCCAGACUUAGUCCGACCCUCCCUGCCCCCAUGUUCGAGUGCCCUGCCCCCGGGCACACCCUGUCCCUCUGCCCACCCUUCCUGCCAUCCACCCCAGCCCCGUCCCUGCAGAAUGGGGAGGCAGAGAAGCCCUUCUGGGGAGAGGCCCCAGGACUGUUCGGGGCUGUGGGCAGGGCCCCCUGGGUGGGAGGAGGGGUCCCACAGCAGAAGGAGCUUCCCAUGGGGUCCACACAGCGGCUGCCUCGGCCCAGCAGCCGCCAAACCCAUCCACCAUGGCCCGUCCGACCUCUCGCUCCUGGCUUGUCAGUUCCGUUUCCUUCUCUCCAGGUUUCUUAGUAA